rnacentral:rRNA from 1 species
CACCAGCCCCCGAGUGGUGGGGAUGAUUAUUUGGCCUAAAGCGUCCGUAGCUGGUUCGAUAAAUCUCUCGUUAAAUCCAGCGUCCUAAGCGUUGGGCUGCGAGAGAGACUGUCGAGCUAGAGGGUGGGAGAGGUCAGCGGUAUUCCUGGGGUAGGGGCGAAAUCCAUUGAUCCCAGGAGGACCACCAGUGGCGAAGGCUGCUGACUAGAACACGCCUGACGGUGAGGGACGAAAGCUGGGGUAGCGAAUCGGAUUAGAUACCCGAGUAGUCCCAGCCGUAAACGAUGCAGGCUAGGUGUUGGGUCGGCCAUGCGCCGCCUCAGUGCCACAGGGAAGCCAUUAAGCCUGCCGCCUGGGGAUACGGCCGCAAGGCUGAAACUUAAAGGAAUUGGCGGGGAGCACCACCAGGCGUGAAGCCUGCGGUUU